GUAGGGAAUAUUGGGCAAUGGAUGCAAGUCUGACCCAGCCAUCCCGCGUGCCGGAAGAAGGCCCUCAGGGUUGUAAACGGCUUUUGACGGUGAAGAAUCGACAGGAUGCGUCCUGUUUUGACGGUAGCCGUUGAAUAAGCACCGGCUAACUCCGUGCCAGCAGCCGCGGUAAUACGGAGGGUGCGAGCGUUGUCCGGAUUUAUUGGGUUUAAAGGGUGCGUAGGCUGGAAGGUCAGUCAGCGGUGAAAAGCUGUCGCUUAACGAUAGUCUUGCCGCAGAUACUUCCUUUCUUGGAUGAGGAGGAGGCCACUGGAACGGAUGGUGUAGCGGUGAAAUGCAUAGAUAUCAUCCAGAACACCGAUUGCGAAGGCAGGUGGCUGCACCUUAAUCGACGCUGAUGCACGAAAGCAUGGGGAGCAAACAGGAUUAGAAACCCCUGUAGUCC
rnacentral:rRNA from 1 species